rnacentral:rRNA from 1 species
CCCUUAGACGUUCUGGGCCGCACGCGCGCUACACUGACCAGUGCAACAAGCAUCCGUCCUUGGCCGACAGGCCCGGGCAAUCUUUGAACGCUGGUCGUGAUGGGGAUAGACUUUUGCAAUUUUUGGUCUUCAACGAGGAAUUCCUAGUAAACGCAAGUCCUCAACUUGCAUUGAUUACGUCCCUGCCCUUUGUACACACCGCCCGUCGCACCUACCGAUUGAAUGGUCCGGUGAAGCCUCCGGAUUGGCGCGCACCUCGGUGCCGCCGAGAAGUUGGCUAAACCUUACCAUUUAGAGGAAGGUGAAGUCGUAACA